rnacentral:lncRNA from 1 species
GGUUUUAGUUUCAUCAUAAAAUGCACAAAAAUGAGAGAAUACUUCAAAUCGAAUUUUCAUAAAAUAAAUUCAUGUCAUUCAAGAAAAAUCGCCCACAAAAGUAAUAAAGUAUCUAAACCCAUUUUUGGACACAACAGGACAUGGUCCCCAAACAUCAGAAUGAACCAACUCAAAAGUAGACUUAGCCCAUUUAUUAAUUCUCGGACCUAACGAGCUACGGUGAUGUUUUGUAAAGUGACAUGACUCACAAUCUAGUGAAGAUACGUCAUCAAACUGAGGGCAUAGUUUCUUCAAUGCAGACAGAGAUGGAUGUCCCUAUCGACAAUGUGCUAUGACUGGGGAGAUUGUACUGGAACAAGCAACAGAUCGAGGCACCCACUUAUUAAGAAUAUAAAGACCAUCAGAUAUAUGUCCUUUACCAAUAAUCUACUUCAUCAUGACAUCCUGAAAAAGGCAAUGAUCAGAAAGAAUGAGAUAUAAUAGUUAAGAUCAUUG